rnacentral:rRNA from 1 species
AUGAACGCUAGCUACAGGCUUAACACAUGCAAGUCGAGGGGAAACGACAUCGAAAGCUUGCUUUUGAUGGGCGUCGACCGGCGCACGGGUGAGUAACGCGUAUCCAACCUGCCCAUCACUUGGGGAUAACCUUGCGAAAGUAAGACUAAUACCCAAUGAUAUCUCUAGAAGACAUCUGAAAGAGAUUAAAGAUUUAUCGGUGAUGGAUGGGGAUGCGUCUGAUUAGCUUGUUGGCGGGGUAACGGCCCACCAAGGCAACGAUCAGUAGGGGUUCUGAGAGGAAGGUCCCCCACAUUGGAACUGAGACACGGUCCAAACUCCUACGGGAGGCAGCAGUGAGGAAUAUUGGUCAAUGGACGAGAGUCUGAACCAGCCAAGUAGCGUGCAGGAAGACGACCCUAUGGGUUGUAAACUGCUUUUAUAAGGGAAUAAAGUGAGUCUCGUGAGACUUUUUGCAUGUACCUUAUGAAUAAGGACCGGCUAAUUCCGUGCCAGCAGCCGCGGUAAUACGGAAGGUCCGGGCGUUAUCCGGAUUUAUUGGGUUUAAAGGGAGCGUAGGCCGGAGAUUAAGCGUGUUGUGAAAUGUAGGCGCUCAACGUCUGCACUGCAGCGCGAACUGGUUUCCUUGAGUACGCACAAAGUGGGCGGAAUUCGUGGUGUAGCGGUGAAAUGCUUAGAUAUCACGAAGAACUCCGAUUGCGAAGGCAGCUCACUGGAGCGCAACUGACGCUGAAGCUCGAAAGUGCGGGUAUCGAACAGGAUUAGAUACCCUGGUAGUCCGCACGGUAAACGAUGGAUGCCCGCUGUUGGUCUGAACAGGUCAGCGGCCAAGCGAAAGCAUUAAGCAUCCCACCUGGGGAGUACGCCGGCAACGGUGAAACUCAAAGGAAUUGACGGGGGCCCGCACAAGCAGUGGAGUAUGUGGUCUAAUUCGAAGCAACGCGAAGAACCUUACCAGGGCUUGACAUCCGCCUGACCGAUCCUUAACCGGAUCUUUCCUUCGGGACAGGCGAGACAGGUGGUGCAUGGUUGUCGUCAGCUCGUGCCGUGAGGUGUCGGCUUAAGUGCCAUAACGAGCGCAACCCCUCUCCUUAGUUGCCAUCAGGUUAAGCUGGGCACUCUGGGGACACUGCCACCGUAAGGUGUGAGGAAGGUGGGGAUGACGUCAAAUCAGCACGGCCCUUACGUCCGGGGCUACACACGUGUUACAAUGGCAGGUACAGAGAGACGGUUGUACGUAAGUACGAUCAAAUCCUUAAAGCCUGUCUCAGUUCGGACUGGGGUCUGCAACCCGACCCCACGAAGCUGGAUUCGCUAGUAAUCGCGCAUCAGCCAUGGCGCGGUGAAUACGUUCCCGGGCCUUGUACACACCGCCCGUCAAGCCAUGAAAGCCGGGGGCGCCUAAAGUCCGUGACCGUAAGGAGCGGCCUAGGGCGAAACUGGUAAUUGGGGCU